rnacentral:lncRNA from 10 species
GCUUACCACAGCCUCAACUUCCCAGGCUCCAGCCAUCCUCUCACCUCAGCCUCCCAAGUAGCUAGGACUACAGGCGUGAGCCACUGUGCCUGGCCUAAUUUUAUAAUUUUAAAUGUCUGUAAAGUAAGCAAAAUGACUAGUUGAAUUGUACAUUAAAUAUAUCUAAUCCCUAAGAGUUUAUAAUGAAAAGGGAUCAAAACUUUUUCAAUUGCGAUAAAACUCACAUAACAAAAUUAACCAUUUUAAAGUGAACAAUUUAGUGGUAUUUAGUGCAUUCACAGUGUCGUGCAGCCAACACCUGUAUCUAGUUCCAAGACAUUUUCAUCUCCCCAAAAGGAGACCCCAUACACGUGAAGCAGUCCCUCUCCCAUCCCCCUCCUCCCAUCCGCUAGCAACUGCUAAUUUGCUUUUUGUCUCUAUGGAUUUACCUGUUCUGGAUAUUUCACAUAAAUGGAAUUAUACAAUAAAGGACCGUUUGUUUCUAACUUCUUUCACUAAGCAUCCAUGUUAUAGCAUAUAUCAGACUUCAUUCCUUUAUGACUGAAUAAUACUUUGCUGAAUGGAUAUAUCAGUGUUUUAUUUGUCCUUUCAUCAGUUGGUGGACAUUUGGGUUCUUUCUACCUUUUGGCUAUUGUGACUAGUGGUGUUGCAAACAUUCAUGUACAAGUUUUUGUUUGAAUGCCUGUUGUCAGUUCUUCUAGAUAUAUACUUAGAAGUGGAAUUGCUGGGUCAUAUGGUAAUUUCUCUGUUUCAACUUUUUGAGAGACCACGAAACCGUUUUCCACAGUGGUGGCACCAUUUGACAUGCCCACUAGAAAUAUAUGAGAGUUCCAUUUUCUUCACAUCUUCUGACAGCUUUUUGGGGUGUUGGGAUGAUUCGUCUAAUUGGGAAAAUAAGUACCUUAUUUGGGCCUAUAUGGUAUUUUUAAUUCUGUGUGUCUGCUCCCAAACUCUGUAGCCCUGCCCUCCCUUAUAUUGUGUAUCCUGUUUCAGAUUGUUUCCGUUUCUUCUGAGACACUGCAUAUACCCCUACAUGUAUCUGUGCUAGGCAUACAUCCCUGUAACUUCAUGGCAUUUUUGUAAUUGCUGUGUACCUGUUACGUAUACUGAGUGGGAGUGUCUCAUUUGCUGUAGAACUCUCUGCAUUAGUGUAGUGUCUGGCACACAGUAGCUGCUCAGGCAUUUUUUAAGUAUAUGAUUAUUGGGAAAACUACAGAGCUAGGGAGAGAUCUGAAGAAAUACUAGAAAUUUUUUUCUGCAAAGAAAACUUUAGAAAAUUGUUGACAUCAUCUGUGGCAUGCAGCAAAAGUUGAUGUAAAAGGAACAGAAAGACCUAUGGAGAUAAUGGGAUGUAAUAACAGAAAACAUACAUAAACAAUUGGUUCUGAAAUCAGUUAAGAGCAGAACUGGAAUUCAUACUCUGUGGAAUGAAUCAGCAAUGUGGAAGGAGUAACAAGAUUUUUUAAAAAGAUUUUGAAUUUAGGCUGGGUGCAGUGGCUCACGCCUGUAACCCCAUCACUUUGGGAGGCCAGAGUAGGUGGAUUGCUUCAACCCAGGCAUUCGAGACUAGCCUGGACAGCAUGGCAAAACCCUAUCUCUACAAAAAAUAAAAAAUUAGCCAGGUGUGGUGGCAUGCGCCUGUAGUCCCAUCUACUUGGGAGGCUGAGGUGGAUGGAUCACCUGAGCCUGGGAAGUGGAGGUUGCAGUAGGCUGAAGUCAUGCCACUGCACUCAAACCUGGCGGACAGAGUGAGACCCUAUCUCAA